UACGGAGGGUGCAAGCGUUAAUCGGAAUUACUGGGCGUAAAGCGCACGUAGGUGGUUUGUUAAGCGAGGUGUGAAAUCCCCGGGCUCAACCUGGGAACUGCACUUCGAACUGGCGAGCUAGAGUAUGGUAGAGGAUAGUGGAAUUUCAGGUGUAGCGGUGAAAUGCGUAGAGAUCUGAAGGAACAUCAGUGGCGAAGGCGACUGUCUGGACUAAUACUGACACUGAGGUGCGAAAGCGUGGGUAGCAAACAGG
rnacentral:rRNA from 1 species